AGCGAACGCUGGCGGCAGGCCUAACACAUGCAAGUCGAACGGCCGUAGCAAUACGGCAGUGGCAGACGGGUGAGUAACACGUGGGAAUGUGCCCUUCGGUUCGGAAUAACCCAGGGAAACUUGGGCUAAUACCGGAUACGCCCUUACGGGGAAAGAUUUAUCGCCGAAGGAUCAGCCCGCGUCCGAUUAGCUAGUUGGUGGGGUAAUGGCCCACCAAGGCUCCGAUCGGUAGCUGGUCUGAGAGGAUGAUCAGCCACACUGGGACUGAGACACGGCCCAGACUCCUACGGGAGGCAGCAGUGGGGAAUAUUGGACAAUGGGCGCAAGCCUGAUCCAGCCAUGCCGCGUGAGUGAUGAAGGCCCUAGGGUUGUAAAGCUCUUUCGGCGGGGAAGAUAAUGACGGUACCCGCAGAAGAAGCCCCGGCUAACUUCGUGCCAGCAGCCGCGGUAAUACGAAGGGGGCUAGCGUUGCUCGGAAUCACUGGGCGUAAAGCGCACGUAGGCGGGU
rnacentral:rRNA from 1 species